UUUCGCAGUUGUUACGCAUUAUCUGAAGAUGGUCCAAUAAAUCCGGGAUGGAGGGAACAGUUGGCGGUUGUUCUUGUUGAUACUCAUCAGAAGACUGGCAGUGUCGCCGCUCAAGACGCGCUCAGUUUAAGCUUAACAUAUAUUUAUUUUAUAUUUAUACCGGAAGAUCACCCGACGGAGUUCGAAUUUAUCGUUGAUCUCGGCAUUAAAUGCCGAAAUUUUGACUUGGAUGGUUAGCCAUCAAAAUCUCAAGCAGAGGGCCGAAUGCCGUAACGACAUUUUCGGUAUUUGUGACGUGCUGCUAUCGAUAAAUAAAAAGGAAAAGAAGAAAAACAACCAUGGACGCUUGGUGCAAUUUAACUUGAGAUGGACAUAUGUCCAGCCAGAGCAGAGACGACCUUUUGCACCAAUAUCGCUUUGGAAUCUCAAAUCCACCAGAAUGAAGGAGUCAACACAAACCGAUUCCCGGCAUAAUGGAUGUUUCUCAUCUGCAAUCGCAAGCCCAUCCAUAGAUUCAACAACAACCGCCAAAAGCGCAUAUUUUUCUUGUUAUGAAAAAUGUAUCACCACUCGGAUGUAUUUCCACUAAAAAUACCAGUAUUUUCAUCAUCGAUCAAACCUAAAUGAAGACAAAGUGUCCAAGGAAAACUCCCUCUACGACCACCACCACGCACGCAUUCCACUUCAACUACUUCUUGAUGUCGGGUCUUUCAACCGGUUAGAUCGAGAAGAUAAUGAAGUCGUUGGAGCCGUUCAAAUCAUCCAACGAAAUAUUUGCUAAGUGUUCAAUGGUAUGCACGAAGAAUAAGGAACAUAAGCACGAACAUCAAGAAUUGAUUGUAAAAUCGGAAACUACCUCGGUAGUGGAAAUGACUGAGGCAAAGGGCGACUAUUACAGCUUAAGUGAUAGCAGAGUAUCAUCAAAGGGAGCGAAGGAAUAUCUACACUACCAACCCCACCGUCACAGGCUCGGUCACAGCACACCCGAUGAUUAUCACCACUUACGGAUCAAAGGAUCCUGGACCGAUUGUUAUUAAUAUCAAAGACCCAGCUCCACAACAGCCGAUAUCUGCAGAAUGGGCAAAAGGUAUUAUGUUUUCUCUUGUGCUCAGCACAAAGAAAGGAAAAUUCCCAUCUUCGUAAGCUGCAUCCUCCAAAAACAGUAACUACGCAAGUACGUACACCGAGCGUACACAUUCGUCAACCCAUCUAAAUGUACACCUCGUCAUUUCUAUGCAUCAAUCAUUGUUCAAUGCCUAACGCCUCGUGACCGCCAAAGGCUAUCUACGUAUAGCCAUACAAGACUCGUUGAAUUAAAGUGCGUCUGUUACUAUUGAACUAGAGGAAUAGAGGGAGACUGUCUUGAGAAGGAAAAAAAACGAAUCGUUAGAACUGCUGCAACUGGAUGUUAAGUUGAACAAACGUGCUCUAAUGACUAGUACCAUUUAGUACUGAAGAGCACCAUCGACAGAUUCCGGCUGAAAAAUAUAAAAAGUAUACUUGCUGCAGCAACAGUACCGGAAUUUUAUGUAGAGUAUUGCAGUGACCUCAAAUGGAUACCACUCCGCCUACGAUUUGGUGCAUGAGAGUUCACCGAGGAACUUCGAACAGACAAACUUCAACGCGGAGCAAUUAACGGUAAAGAACUAACCGGUGUUCCAGUAGAUGCACAAGGGAGUGGACAGCAGUAUUUUCAAAACCACCUGGAGUAUUCCAACAUUAGCGUCAUCCGGGUGAGACUGAUCAAGUUGUAUGUCGUAUUCCUCAGACUACGAUUGCGGUGGUAAUACGAGGCGGCGAAAAAUGUCGUUUUACGUUCUAAUGUCGUAUGUACAUGAUUUACUAACCACGCGCAGGAUAUUUUUCCACCAACUCAGCAUGAAAAAAUGGAUGUUUUCAACUGGUGAUCAAGCUGUUCCAGUGUUCCAUACUUAAAAGAAACCAAUAUCCCAGAUUCAGUAACAGCCGUCAUACAGGCAGAAAGGAUAGGAGACAAACACGGAUCAUUUGACGAGUCAGUUUCUCAUGCUAGUUCAUGUUCGAGGCAAUGCUAACAGUCAAAAUAAUGACACUCCUUCCCUCCAGUAUCAAUAAGACAGUUAUUUUAAGAUUUAAUGAAUCAAAUUAGUGUUUAGUAAAGAAUCUUCUGUAU